rnacentral:rRNA from 1 species
UACGUAGGGCGCAAGCGUUGUCCGGAAUUAUUGGGCGUAAAGAGCUCGUAGGCGGCCUGUUGCAUCCGCUGUGAAAUCCCGAGGCUCAACCCCGGGCCUGCAGUGGAUACGGGCUGGCUAGAGGCAGGCAGGGGAGAACGGAAUUCCUGGUGUAGCGGUGAAAUGCGCAGAUAUCAGGAGGAACACCGGUGGCGAAGGCGGCUCACUGGCCCGGUACUGACGCUGAGGUGCGAAAGCGUGGGGAGCAAACAGG